rnacentral:tmRNA from 1 species
GGGGAUGAAAGGAUUUCGACGGGGAAUCUGAGCCCGGAUAAGCGAGUAGCGGGGCGGGACCGCUAUAAAAUCCGUAAUUUUCAAAUUUAAACGACAACAAUAAAGUUGCUCUUGCUGCUUAAUUAAGCAGCCGUCUCUGUGCGGAGGACUGCGGCCGCACAAGAGGCGUCGAUUAGCAGUGAACGUGAACGGGUAACGGCGGAUAGCCCGUCAUGAAUAAUCUGUCUACCAAGCUUCAAAGCCUGCCUUUCGGCGUUGGAGCGAGGGAAUGUUAAAAGAACGGCUACACUCGUAGAAAGUCCCUGCAAGGGUUUUUCGGACGCGGUUUCGAUUACCGCCAUCUCCACCA